rnacentral:rRNA from 1 species
GACGAACGCUGGCGGCGUGCUUAACACAUGCAAGUCGAACGGUGAAGGUGGGAGCUUGCUCCCACCGGAUCAGUGGCGAACGGGUGAGUAACACGUGAGUAACCUGCCCCAGACUCUGGAAUAACCCCAGGAAACCGGAGCUAAUACCGGAUACGAGACGAAGCCGCAUGGCUAUCGUCUGGAAAGUUUUUCGGUCUGGGAUGGACUCGCGGCCUAUCAGCUUGUUGGUGAGGUAACGGCUCACCAAGGCGACGACGGGUAGCCGGCCUGAGAGGGCGACCGGCCACACUGGGACUGAGACACGGCCCAGACUCCUACGGGAGGCAGCAGUGGGGAAUAUUGCACAAUGGGCGCAAGCCUGAUGCAGCGACGCCGCGUGAGGGAUGACGGCCUUCGGGUUGUAAACCUCUUUCAGCAGGGAAGAAGCGAAAGUGACGGUACCUGCAGAAGAAGCACCGGCUAACUACGUGCCAGCCGCCGCGGUAAUAC